UUGGCCUCCACCGAGUAUAUUUUAGUAGACGGACAUUUAACAUCCUUCAAUGUUCUUGAGUUUUGUGGAAACUAUGAAACAACCGCUAAACCUGAAAUAUAAUCAGCUUUAUAUGAAAGUACCACCAGGACAUGCACUGUAUCACCAGAAGAGACAUGAC